UAACUCUUGUUUCUCUUCACAUCAUGUAAAACAUUCAUCUUUUACCAAAGGUUUUCGUGGAGAGGAUCAAUAGAGUUGGUUCCAACUUUUCAUGCUCUAUGAAAACGUGGCU
rnacentral:snRNA from 1 species